rnacentral:lncRNA from 1 species
UUUUCGAAUUCAACAAACUGAACAUCUUCCAUAUUCUGCAAAACUGAGAGAUAUACAUACAAUUAUUAAAUCUGAAGACCAGAAAUACAGCACAUUAAUGAACCAAAAACGAGCAUAAUAUUAACAUUAACAACAUAGUGUAGGUCAACUGCUUGAUCCAUUAGAACUAGCCUCUCAACUUUAUCAUAAAAAUGAUGGUUUCAAAUUGAUCUUUGUCCUUACCAAUCCAAGAAUGUCAACCAUAUGUAAAAACCCAAUACAUGGACAAAUUGAUCUAAAACCGUAUGGAUAUCCAUCAAUGACAACCAAUAAAAAAAAAAUCUAAACCUACAAAUUCUCAUUUCUUAUUCCAGACACUGGAACCCACAAAUUUUAGCUCAAUCUUAACCAAUAAAUUCCAAGCUACAGCAGAAAAUUGCCCAUACCUUCUUCCGUAAUAACCGAGCAGGGUUGGAGAUGAGAACAAGUUGCCGAAGAUGAGGACACGACGGGGAUGCUUGGUCUUCCUCUACCUAGCUAUCCUUCGAUUUUUGCUACACUAGGUGGGGAAAAUGAUUGGAGUUUUCGCUACAGCCACUGGAAAAUUUUUUCUACAGCCACUGGAAAAUGUUGGAUUUUUGACAUUAUGGGAUGAAUUAACUUCGAAAUCCUUUAAGCUGUCUUCUGGUUUGUCCCUCUUUGACUUUCAGUGUCCAUAGGAUUUCAGAGAUAUUGCAACAGUAAAAUGGGUUUUGGCGCCUUUUUGCAUUGCUUUUUGAUUUUUUAAUCAGCACCGUCUAGUGUCCUUUCAUCCAUACCGCACACGUGUAUUUGUCAAGCACUUUUGUAAACCCUCUUUGUAUGAGUAGCACUAUUGCUUAUGUAUUGAUCCCAGAUUGCAAUUCCAUCAAUACGACUGUCUUGAACCAAUUUUAUUAUUUUAAUUGCUAUUUUUUAA